CCUACGGGAGGCAGCAGUGGGGAAUUUUGCACAAUGGGCGCAAGCCUGAUCCAGCCAUGCCGCGUAUAUGAAGAAGGCCUUCGGGUUGUAAAGUACUUUCAGCGAGGAGGAAGCGUUAUGG
rnacentral:rRNA from 1 species